UACGUAGGGGGCAAGCGUUAUCCGGAUUUACUGGGUGUAAAGGGAGCGUAGGCGGUCUGACAAGUCAGAAGUGAAAGCCCGGGGCUCAACCUCGGGACUGCUUUUGAAACUGCCGGACUAGAUUGCAGGAGAGGUAAGUGGAAUUCCUGGUGUAGCGGUGAAAUGCGUAGAUAUUAGGAGGAACACCAGUGGCGAAGGCGGCUUACUGGACUGUAAAUGCCG
rnacentral:rRNA from 1 species